AACGAACGCUGGCGGCAGGCCUAACACAUGCAAGUCGAGCGAGGACUUCGGUCCUAGCGGCGGACGGGUGAGUAACGCGUGGGAACGUGCCCUUUGCUUCGGAAUAGCCCUGGGAAACUGGGAGUAAUACCGGAUGAGCCCUUUGGGGGAAAGAUUUAUCGGCGAAGGAUCGGCCCGCGUUGGAUUAGGUAGUUGGUGGGGUAAUGGCCUACCAAGCCGACGAUCCAUAGCUGGUUUGAGAGGAUGAUCAGCCACACUGGGACUGAGACACGGCCCAGACUCCUACGGGAGGCAGCAGUGGGGAAUCUUAGACAAUGGGGGAAACCCUGAUCUAGCCAUGCCGCGUAAGCGAUGAAGGCCUUAGGGUUGUAAAGCUCUUUCAGCUGGGAAGAUAAUGACGGUACCAGCAGAAGAAGCCCCGGCUAACUCCGUG
rnacentral:rRNA from 1 species